CCUACGGGAGGCAGCAGUGGGGAAUAUUGGGCAAUGGAGGCAACUCUGACCCAGCAACGCCGCGUGAGUGAUGGAGGUCUUCGGAUUGUAAAGUUCUUUUCUAAGGGAAGAAGAAAGUGACGGUACCUUAGGAAUAAGCCUCCGAUAACUACGUGCCAGCGGGCGCGGUAAUGCGUAGGAGGCAAGCGUUAUCCGGAAUGACUGGGCGUAAAGGGUGCGUAGGUGGUUUGACACGUUGGUAGCGUAACUCCGGAGCUCAACUUCGGGACUACUACCAAAACUGUUGGACUAGAGUGCAGGAGGGGCAACUGGAAUUUCUGGUGUAGCGGUGGAAUGCGUAGAUAUUAGGAAGAACACCGGUGGCGAAGGCGAGUUGCUGGACUGUAACUGACGCUGAGGCACGAAAGCGUGGGGAGCAAACAGGAUUAGAUACCCGUGUAGUC
rnacentral:rRNA from 1 species